UACGGCCAAGGCUUUAUACUCGACUUCAUUAUUCAUUAUAGAAAAUUUGAAGCAUAAGGCAUACUCAACUACUAUCCUCUCUAGAUUCGAGAGGAUCAGUCCUGCUUCGGAUCCUGCAGAGUUGGAUGAGUCAUCCACAUACAUCACUCAGAAAUCGGCAUCAGCUUUUGAAAGGCCUUCAUAUGUCGGCACAUGGGGCUCGGCUUUUUUUUGGUCAUCUAGCUCAUCUGGAAUGGUACAUUAGGCCAAGA
rnacentral:lncRNA from 1 species